GAUCACUCAUUAUGCAAGUGGAUUGACAAACAUGUGAAAAUAUCUUCUUUAUGAAAAACCAAUCAGCCAACCAUCUAGAUAAAAAUACAGUACACUAAAAUAAUGACAAAUACUAAUAGACCUCUAACAGAUCACACAAAAAUGGCGAAAAAUAGCAAAAUGUUGCAUAUUGGAGUAUUUCCAUGGUUAGCUUUUGGUCAUAUGAUUCCGUAUUUAGAGCUCUCAAAGCAAAUUGCUCAAAAGGGUCAUAAAAUUUCGUUUAUUUCGACUCCCAGAAACAUAGAUUGUCUCCCAAAACUUUCCCCAAAUCUUACCCCGUUUUUAAAUUUUGUCAAACUUCCUAUGCCUUAUGUGGAAAAGAUGCCGGAAAAUGCAGAAGCCACUAUCGAUGUAACUUAUGAGCAAGUCAAAUACCUCAAACUUGCUCAAGAUGGACUCGAAGAAUCCAUGGCUAAGUUUCUCGAAGAUUCAGAUCUUGAUUUUAUACUAUUCGAUUUUACUUCUUACUGGGUUCCUUCAAUUGCUUCAAAAUUCAACAUUCCGUCAGGUCAUUUCAGCAUAUACAUCGCUGCGUUUCUGGGUUUCACCGGACCUGUACCGGGACUAAACAAUGAUUAUGAAAUUCGGACAACGCUGGAGGAAUAUACCGUUCCCCCAAAAUGGGUUCCGUUUGAAACUACAGUUGCUUUCAAGCUUUUCGAAGUUUUGAGAAUCUUCGAAGCUACCAUGAAGGGAGAGGAAGAGAACAUUGCUGAUAUUACUCGUUACUAUAAAUCAGUUGAAAAUUGUGAUUUUUUAUUUGUGCGGAGCUGUUCGGAAUUAGAACCAGAAUGGUUGAAAGUUCUUGGAGAUAUUCACCGGAAACCGGUUUUUCCGCUGGGUCAACUUCCGACAACACAGUAUGAAGAUGACAGCACGAAGAUCGAUGCGUGGAUAGAGAUAAAACUAUGGCUUGAUAAGCAAGAAAAGGGGAAAGUGAUUUAUGUUGCAUUUGGUAGUGAGGCAAAACCGAGUCAAAAUGAACUCAUUGAGUUAUCACUUGGAUUAGAGCUUUCUGGGUUACCAUUUCUCUGGGUUUUAAGAACUAAAAGAGGAGAAUCGGAUGAUGAAUUGAUUCAAUUACCAGAAGGAUUCGAAGAUCGAAUGAAGGGAAGAGGAAUAGUGUGCACGAGUUGGGCACCACAACUCAAGAUAUUGAGUCAUGACUCGGUUGGUGGAUUUUUGACACAUUCAGGAUGAAGUUCAGUAGUCGAGGCAAUACAAUUUGAGAAGUCAUUAGUUCUCUUAACAUUCUCUGCUGAUCAAGGGAUAAAUGCUAGGCUCUUGGAGGAGAAAAAGAUAGCGUAUUCAAUACCAAGAGAUGAUUGUGACGGGUCAUUCACUCGUGACUCAGUAGCUAAGUCACUGAAUUUGGUGCUCAUUGAAAAAGAGGGUGAAAUUUAUCGAGAAAAAGUUAAACAGAUGAAAAGUCUUUUGUGUGACAAAGAAAGACAAGAUAAUUAUGUGGAGAAUUUAUUAUGUUAUCUUCAAAAUUAUAAGAAGACUAUUCCAUAAGAAGGGCAAAAAAAACUUGGUUUUGCUUUAUUAUUUGAAUAAUAAUAAUAAUAAUAAGGGUUAAGUUGUCCUCGA